CCCGACGUGAACGUUCCUGUAAGCGAACUCAACUCCGAUGGUUGGUUUAGAGUCUAACCGGAACUCGUCUUUGGAAAAUCUUGACAAGAGGUUUGAUUUUCCCACGGCUGAGUCUCCGAUCAGCACCGACUUGAAUAGGUUUGAUGAUGACUAUAUGUUGCAACAAAGAAGGACAAAGGUGAAGUAAAGGAAGAAAUGAAAAGGGAAGGAAAGUUUCUCCGCUGAAUAUGGCUUUUGGUUGAAAAUAGUACUUGAUGAAAUUUUAUAGUCAAAAACAUUAAUAAUAUUUUGAAAUAGUGACUAUGUAGAGUACUCUUGUAUAAAAGAAAAAAAAAACUGAUUUAGAAAAAGGAUAUAGGAUCAGAUAAGGAUGGCGUCAAAGAGAUUGUAAUAAUGCUAUUGAAUCAAUAGAAUGGAGUAUUAAUUAAGUGUUUUGUCGAUUAGGUUUUAAGAAUUAAUAAGAGAGGGAUCACAAUCAUAAGUGCAGCUGUUGGCAUGUGAAAUCAUGGAUUACAACAUAAUGAUAAUGGUGCCUUCCUUUUUA